ensembl:lncRNA
UUUUUUUUUUUUUUCCACUCUAAGCAUAUCUUGGGAUCUUGCAAUUAGGAAAAGAGUAGCUAUGAUGCUAUGUUCUCUCAGUUAAGGACACUGAUUCUGGAAUUUAAUGAUCUGUCUCACAUUCUUGCUCUACCACUUACUCGUUUUUCAUUUUGAAAUUUAGUUUUCUUCACGUGUCACUGAGGAUUAAUUAUGGGCUUAGUAAUGGGCUUAGUAAUGCCCAUUCAUCAUGGAUUUGCAGUGGCAUUGAUCCUUCAGCACAGAAGAUCCUAGCACACGUUCCUGACCAAAAAGCAGCCAUUUGUGUGGCACAAGCCAAUAUUUAUUGCACUUUCUUGCCUUGGUCUAUCUUUCUGACAUUAACACCAACUUCUAGGACAGAAGACUUCUUACUCUCAGCAAGUAGUUUGUUUUUCAAAGAAAAAACAUGGGGUGUUCAGUUGGCUGUGCGGCUGCUCCCAUCUGUAGAGGUGAGGUGGAUGUACGUAGUCUUCUAUGCUGAGAGAAUAAUUCUAAAGAAUGCUUUGAAGGUAAACAUAUAAAUCAGUACACUCCUCCAACUCAAUACCUUCAUGAAAUGUAUCUUCAUGAAGUCUGCCUUUUACAUUAAAGUUUUUUUUUUGUUUUUUUGUUUUUGUUUUUGUUUUUUAGACAGAAUUUCGCUCUUUUUGCCCAGGCUGGAGUACAAUGGUGCAAUCCUGGCUCACUGCAAGCUCUGCCUCCUGGUUUCAAGUGAUUCUCCUGCCUCAGUCUCCUGAGCAGCUGGGAUUACAGGUACCCGCCACCACACCUGGCUUAUUUUGAAUUUUUAGCAGAGACGGGGUUUGUGCAAGUUGGUCAGGCAGGUCUCGAACUCCCGACCUCAGGUGAUCUGCCUGCCUCACCCUCCCAAAGUGCUGGGAUUACAGGUGUGAGCCACCGAGCUUGGCCUACAUUAAAGCUUUAAUUUCCAGGAAGACACUCCAACUUGAAGCAGAGUGAUACGGUUUGGAUAUGUCCCCACCAAAUCUAAUGUUAAAUUAUAAUCCCCAAUGUUGGAAGCAGGGCCCGAUGGUAGGUGUUUGGGUCAUGAGGGUGGAUUGCUCAUGGCUUGGUGCUAUCCUCACCAUAGUGAGUGAGUUAUCAGGAGAUCUAGUCAUUUAUAAAUAUGUGUAGCAGUUUCCCUGCAAUGCUGUCUUUAUUGAUCUUGCUCUUCCUUGUGAGAUGUCUGUCUGCUCCCACUUUGACUUCUGCCAUGAUAUACUUAAAAGUAUGACCCUUUCGUAUAGGUUUCUUGUGUGCUGUGUACAAGAAACUCACUUGAAAUUCACCAAUACAGGGCAGGACAAAUUAAAAGGAUGAAUAAAGAUAUAUUACGCAAACAUUAGUGCCUGUAUGUAUAUCAGCUAAAGCAGAGAAAAUUACCAGAAACAGAGAUUACAUAAUGAUCAAAGGUUUAAUCCCUGAAGAAGACAGCAAUUUUAAAAGUGUAUUCACCAAACAACAGAGCUUCAAAAUAUGUGAUGUCAGGCAGGCGGAUCACGAGGUCAGAGCUCGAGACCAUCCUGGCUUACAUGGUGAAACCCCAUCUCUACUAAACACACACACACACACACACACACACACACACACACACACACACACACACAGAGAGACACACACACACUCACAAUUAGCUGGGCGCGGUGAUGGACACCAGUAGGCCCAGCUACUCCAGAGGCUGAGGCUGAAGAAUGGCGUGAACCCAGGAGGCGGCGCUUGCAGUGAGCCAAGAUCGCGCCACUGCACUCCAGCCUGGGCAAUAGAGCGAGACUCGACCUCAAAAGACACACACACACACACACACACACACACAC